GACGAACGCUGGCGGCGUGCUUAACACAUGCAAGUCGAACGAAGUGGCGAACGGGUGAGUAACGCGUAAUCAACCUGCCCUUCAGAGGGGGACAACAGUUGGAAACGAAUGCUAAUACCCCAUACUUAAGGCGGGGAUUGCGUCUGAUUAGCUAGUUGGUGGGGUAACGGCCCACCAAGGCGAUGAUCAGUAGCCGGUUCGGCAGGAUGAACGGCCAAAUUGGGACUGAGACACGGGCCAGACUCCUAAGGGAGGCAGCAGUGGGGAAUCUCCCGAAAUGGACGAAAGUCUGACGGAGCAACGCCGAGUGAGUGAUGACGGCCUUCGGGUUGUAAAGCUCUGUUAAGCGGGACGCGGUACCGGAAUAGAAAGCCACGGCUAACUACGUGCCAGCCGCCGCGGUAAUAC
rnacentral:rRNA from 1 species